rnacentral:rRNA from 1 species
CCUACGGGAGGCAGCAGUAGGGAAUCUUCCACAAUGGACGAAAGUCUGAUGGAGCAACGCCGCGUGAGUGAUGAAGGUUUUCGGAUCGUAAAACUCUGUUGUAAGGGAAGAACCAGUACGUCAGGCAAUGGACGUACCUUGACGGUACCUUAUUAGAAAGCCACGGCUAACUACGUGCCAGCAGCCGCGGUAAUACGUAGGUGGCAAGCGUUGUCCGGAAUUAUUGGGCGUAAAGCGCGCGCAGGCGGUUUCUUAAGUCUGAUGUGAAAGCCCACGGCUUAACCGUGGAGGGUCAUUGGAAACUGGGAGACUUGAGUGCAGAAGAGGAAAGUGGAAUUCCAAGUGUAGCGGUGAAAUGCGUAGAGAUUUGGAGGAACACCAGUGGCGAAGGCGACUUUCUGGUCUGCAACUGACGCUGAGGCGCGAAAGCAUGGGGAGCAAACAGGAUUAGAUACCCCUGUAGUC